GUUAAUAUUCAGCAAGUUUUAAAGUUUAUUCUGAACUUAGUGAGUUCUUUAACUUUCGGUAUAAUAUAUCAUUUCUAGACCCUCCGCUCGGGGGAUUCGGCGAUAUUUCCCUCAGUGAUGAUAUUUUCCAUGGGGCAAAGCCCCUCGGAAAUAUCAUCACUUCGGGAAAUAUUACGCCGAAUCCCCCUCGCUCCGGGUCUAUAAAUGAUAAUUAACCAAUCAGAUGCGUAGUAAGCCAGAGAGAGUUAGUGAUAUUGAAAGUCAAAUCUGAAUCUCUCUAAUAACACUGUCAGACUGGUUAGAUUCAUCAAAUUGUUAAAUGGAAUACAAAGCUUUCGCUUCUGAGAUUGGUCUAACAGAAAAAUUUAAAUCAAAUCAACAUGAGGUCCAUUUUGAUCAGACGUCCGAAAACUUUACCCAGAUCUUGCUUGAAAUUAUAACCCGUUAUAGUAUGCAAGACUCUCCCCUUGACGAGUAAAUUCAUCCGCCGUUAGACAGAGUAAAAUACUAAAGUAGGGCGCAUUUUGGCACAUUGCAGCUUAAUGGGUCAUAAGAGAAAGAAAUUCUGCCCAGCAUGGCUUGUCUGACCAUUUCAAAUGGAAAGCGUGCUUUGUGUCUUUUUUGUAAAUAUAUCCAGUCCUUGCAAUAUGAUUAUGAACUUUAGCUAAAUUGAUGACUUUAUGUAAAUUUGUAUGCGGAUAUAACAAAGUACGCAUUAUCAAAGUUGAGUUAUAGAAUUAUAGUGGCAUGCAGUCAUUGUUUGUUUUAUUAGGUUAACUAGUGCAUGUAGUGAUCAAGAAUGAAGUAUUAACAAAUAUAUGGACAAAAUAUUUAGAUUUAUAUACCAGUAAAACAUCGUGUUAGUUUUCAUAGGUAGUAAAGUAUUUCAUAUUGAUGUUUAAUAAAAGUAUUUGUUU